rnacentral:lncRNA from 1 species
AAAAUGUAUGCGAGAAAUUAUAUUUUAUACACGUAACUUCAACGAGAUUUUAUUAAUGAGUCCUUCAAGUUUAGGAAACUAGAUGACAGUAAUGUUAUUGUUCAGAGGACAGAAUCUAACCAGUGUGUUUCUCUAAAAUAACUUUUUCGCGAGUCCUCUGAUGUCCCCGCCCACCGCUGUCAAAGCUCAUGAAUAUUAAUCAGAGUUGGCUGACGUUCUUGGAAAUCCGCCCCAGAACGACCAGUCUCGAGCAGAUCUCGAGCCAGUCACGUAGCUGCGUAUCUCACGUAGCCGCGCCUUUGCUGUGGUAGAGAGUGUGCUUUAGGCCACGCCCCGUGUUCUCUAACGGACGGUUACGCCCGCCUUCCUCCAGCAGCGACCAUUUCUUCCUGAGACAGACAGCAGCGCUCUCGUGUUCGACCGAGCUACCCUCGCCCAGGCAUAUGGCCCAGACAGCCUCUUUUCUUUCUUCUAUUUGUGUCCCCACCACUCUUUAAAAAUUCCGCCGAAAAAGAGAAGACGAUUUUCCAAAUCAUUCAGGCCGUUAUCUCACGGCUCCCCACUCUCUCUGCGAGUGUAUAAACGCUACCCAGAAGGCCUAGGGGAGGCCCUCUACCGCGAGCAGUUCGACUUCAACGCUGAGCCGCCUUGGGAUCCUAGUUGAUAGCGGGAGAGGACCAUCUCCCACGUUGUCCAUGUGAGUCCAGAAAUAUUGGACACAUCCCUCCUGAAGUACCGUUUAGAGACAGUUACAUAAUAAUAUGAUUUAUUUAAUUACACACAAAAUCCGUGUCUGCACUCACCAAACUGUAGUGGAUAGUUUUUGGUUUUAUAUAACGCUAUUUAUGGCUUAUAUGUAACAGCUUUGUCCCCUGUUCAUAGUGCACAAAUCCAUUAUUAAUAACAUCAAAUGCUCCAUUGUGCUUCAAAGCCACAAGGAUUUAUCUUGAUUGGGUCUGAGCAAAAAAAAUAAAAAUAGCCUGUAGGCCGCAUUCUUGAAGCCUUGUCAUCAUCU